AAAUGUUCACAUUUCCGGCGACGCGGGAGCGCACGCCGCCACAGGAGAGUCAGCUCACUAGCCAACGGUCUAGUACACUUUAAUGAAACGGGACCAGGCUUGGCGAGCAAUAGCAGAUGCCCUCAGCGUAGACGUGACGCAAGUAAUGAAGCGGUGGAAAUCCCUACGCGACACUUUCAUGAAAAAACGCAAAGAAGUGACAACAACGAAAAGUGGUGCCGGCGCGGACAGUGUUUUCAGUGUGCGGUGGCCCCAUUACAAUCAACUACUGUUUCUCCUUGACACAAUGGAAUAUCCUGAGACAAGCGGGAACCUCGUGGAUAUUCAAGACAUCGACUCAUUCGACGAAACAAGCACCGCAUAUCUUCAGACUGAAAGAACUAGCAUCAUAGACAUUGAAGCCAAUCUGGCUGCUAGCAACUUUCCUACCACCCCUGGGCAGGAAGAUCGGAGUGGAUGCUCCAGCCCCACGUCAGCGCCAUCACCAGCCAGCAGCGCAUCAUCUGGUCCACAGAAAAGGAAACGGGGCCAUGACAAGGUCUUUGAAAGAGAAAUAGGAAUCCUGGGAGAAUUGGCUUCAAAACGAACCGACGCUUCUGAACUAUUGGGCUUUUUAUAGGGUACAAGCACAGACGAGUCCCGCAACAUCUGCGAGGACAAUUUGAGUUGGAA